rnacentral:misc_RNA from 1 species
AGCUGGAUCAUUUUUCCGAUCAAAAAACAAAACAAAUGAAAAUGCGUCGCUAAAAAACGUGCUUUUUCGUUUGUGUCUUUGUGUUGUCUUGUGUUUUGUGUCUUGUGUGUGUGUUGUGCUAAGGCAUCCUUAGUAGACCUGCGCCACGAAACGGCUUCACCGCUGUGGGUUGGGUCGGCAGAAAAACAACGUCCUUGUUCCCGUGUGAAAUCUUCUCUUGGUUUUGCCUAGCAGUUACUGUUUCGCGUUAAAAACGAAGUAGUGCUGCGCCUUCCGGCAUUAUCUCGAGAGGAGCGUGUUGCGUCCGGCACUCGGACAGCGCGUGAAAAGCAUCGUGGGACGCACAAAGGCCGUUUCUCUUCUCCCCCAGUUACUCACAGUGCUGGGCUGCAGAAACCAGGCGGUGCCGGCACACAUACACAUACUCACAUACUCAUACAUACAGUACAAAACACGCAAAACGCGAAACUGCACGAAAAGACGCCUCUUUUCACCAAAACACAACAACUUACUUUUUUGCCGCCCAACCACGGUUGGCGACGGCUCCCACAACGUGUCGCGAUGGAUGACUUGGCUUCCUAUUUCGUUGAAGAACGCAGCAAAGUGCGAUAAGUGGUAUCAAUUGCAGAACCUUUCAAUUACCGAAUCUUUGAACGCAAACGGCGCUCGGAAGAAGGCACCUUUGGUGUUCAACUCCGAGCAUGCCAUGUCCUCAGUGUCGAACAAAAACCAAACAAAAAUCAAAAAGCAGAUUCUGUGCUUGGCGCGUUUCUUGUCACUCGCAAGAGAACAAGAAGCGCGCCGGUGCGGUGGCUCCACUUGUGUUCUGUGCCCGCCUCUGUGGGUGCGAUAACGAGCGAAUGCAAUUCUGCUUUUCUCAGCGCUGUCUCAAAAACAGCGUUGGGAGAAGUCACUCGUUCAGUUCAGAAAUUUUCUGCCCCGUCAAAAAGGGUAGAAAAAAAGAACCAAAACAAUUGAACAACAGUUGUCUUUUCUUCUGGCUUCUGAAAUUUGAGCGAGAGCGUAAACUUCCCGUAAAAACGGAAAUAGCGCGCAACUUCCGGUUCACAGACCUGAGCGUGGCAGGACUACCCGCCGAACUUAAGCAUAUUAUUCAGCGGAGGAAAAGAAAACAACCGUGAUUCCCUCAGUCAGGGGCGACCGAAGAGGGACCGGACCCGUUGCUGAAUCUGGCCCUCAAACGGGCUUGAGUUGUGGCAAUGACGCUGAUUGUGGUUGGUAAGCGGACUGGUGAAAUUCAAUGUGCAAAGCAGACCCGUUGCUGGACACAACCUCUCUUGUGAGUAUUGAGCCCUAGACCGGUGUUAGCCCGUUGAGCCAGAAACCGCAGCCUCAUGAAACAGCACCAAGCGAGUAGCACUGCUUGGGAAUGCAGUGUGAAGUGGCAGGUAUGUGUCUGCCAAGGUUAAAUACAGAGUAGGAAGACCGAUAGCGAACAAGUAGCGUGAGCGAAAGUUUGAAAAGCACUUUGGAAAGAGAGUGACAUAGAACCUGAAGUCGUGACAACGAUAAGGGACGUACCUCCAUUUCAUUUUUCGGUCAGGGCCGACCACCUAAGCAUUCUCCCGAUCGGACUCACGAGGCCGGGCGGGCAACUAAAGUGCAGAAGAGGGGUACCGGCAAAUCGAGCGGAAGUAAAGGCGUGCGUCCCGGCGUGGCGAGUGUAAAAAGCUCGUCUGCGCCGCACGCGUGCGUCUUUUCCGUGAUGCUCAAACACUUGACGCUGGAAAUGGGGUGCCUCCACCCGUCUUGAAACACGGACCAAGGAGUCAAACAGACGCGCAAGGGAGAGGAUUCUACACAAGUACCAUCUCUCGUACUGAAAGGGAGGUCGCAAGACCAAUGGUGUGCACACAACACGAAUGCCCAACACCGACCGGCCCGCACGCGGGUUGAGUUAGAGUGUGCCUGUUUGGACCCGAAAGGUGGUGAACUAUGCCUGAACAAGGUGAAGCCCGGGGAAACCCAGGUGGAGGCCUGUAGCGAUGCUGACGUGCAAAUCGCUCGCAUGAUUUGGGUAUCGGAGCGAAAGACUCAUCGAACCACCUAGUAGCUGGUUCACAU